GAUUGAACCUGAGACCUUCUGCAUGCAAAGCACAUGUACUACCACUGAGUUAUGGCUUCCCUACUGCGUAUAUAUGACAAGGAAUACGUUUUAAAAUGGACACACACAUCAAGUGAGUGUUGUUAUACGUGCUACAGACACCACUGAUGUGCAUCGGAACAGCCAGACGAGAUGCAACAAAAGUGAUGGGUAGAAGAAGAAGAACAUGGGUAGACAAACUAAGGCCCAGGGGCCGGAUCUGGCCCAAUUGCCUUCUAAAUCCAGCCCGUGGACAGUCCAGGAAUCAGUGUUUUUACAUGAAUGUGUCCUUUUAUUUAAAAUGCAUCUCUGGGUUAUUUGUGGGGCCUGCCUGGUGUUUUUACACGAGUAGAAUGUGUGCUUUUAUUUAAAAUGCAUCUCUGGGUUAUUCAUGGGGCAUAGGAAUUUGUUCAUCCCCCUCCCCCCAAAAAAUAUAGUCCGGCCCCCUACAAGAUCUGAGGGACAGUGGACCGGCACCCUGCUGAAAAAGUUUGCUGACCUCUGAAGAAGAGGAAGAGUUUGUAUUUGAUAUCCCACCUUUCACUCCCUGUGAUGGGAUGAUGAGCUGCUUGUGCGUAAAAUCGUAUCCCCUCAGAGUUUGUUCAAGUCCACAAACCUCUGUCUGUGACAGAGCCCCUCAGACAUGGCUACUCUAGUCACUAGCAGAUUCCGACAGUGGUUGCUUUCGUAAUCGCUUCCAACAUAAAAGCUCCUUAACGGAAACACGUCUUCUGGAAUCUCUGCGUGACAGUUUCCGGCGAGGAGUGGGUGUUCUUACAGGAGGUCCUGAAACCUCUCCACUGUUUUCGCUGGAAGUGUCUCUGAGCCAUCCCUCCAGCUCAGCUCCUCUCCCUGGCUGGUUCCCUCAUCAGCUGCUGCGUCUCUCCCAACCUGUGUGAGCCCUUUCACCUCCCUGUUGGUUUCCUCUUCAGCUGCUGCGUCUCUCCCAACCUGUGUGAGCCCUUUCACCUCCCUUCCGUCCGAUGGCAGUUCCCUGACAUCCACCUCCCCUCCAGGGCCCCCUUCACCCCUCUCGCCCCUCCUCUACGGGCGGUGAGGAGGCAAAACCCCGGAAUGAACUUCCUUCAUCUUCCGAUGUCUCGAACACUUCUCUCAACCUGUUGCGGUUCCUGGUCUCGAAGUACACCUCCUCCUCAGAGUCCAUCCCCCCUUCCCCUUCCGAGUCCGGGAAUCCUUCCAACUCCUCCCCUUCAUCAGUGGUCCCAAAGUAUUCCCUCCGGAACCUCUCCACAGGCUGAGGUUUCCUUGGGAACCUUUGAUGGAACGUUUCUAUCAAUACCUCGUCAUUGAUAUCUUCAGCCAUUACCCAAGUGUUUUCUGACUCCGGUUCUCCUUCCCACGCUACCAAAUACUCCACCUGAUCCCCCUUCCACCUGGCGUCGAGGAUUUCUGCCACAUGGCUGCUGCAUUCUCUUUCUUCUACGACCGGUCCCCGAGUGGCCAGCCCUUCUCGUCCCCCUUCGUACGGUGACAGUAACGACCUGUGAAAUACUGGGUGCAGUUUCAUGUGGUUGGGUAACCGGAGCCUGAAAGCCACUGGGUUGACCUGUUGAAUGACCUCAAAGGGACCCAACCUCCUGGGUCUUAAUUUCUUACAACCUCCUUUGAACGGCAACCCUUGGGUUGACAGCCACACCCUAUCUCCCACCCUUAUGGUUUCACCUUCCCUUCGGUUCUUGUCUGCCUGCCUCUUGUAUUCUUCCUUCGCCCUUUCUAAGUUGAGUUGGAGCUGACGAUGGAUUGCUUCCAUUUCUUCCACAAAAUGCUCGGCUGCCGGGACGCUCCAUCUCUCCCCUCUCCCCUGGGAAAGCCCUGGGAUGACACCCAUAAUUAGCCAAGAAGGGGCUCAUCCCUGUGGACACAUUCUCGGCAUUGUUGUAGGCAAAUUCCGCCAGCGCCAACUUUUCUACCCAGUCAUUCUCUCUGUCAUUGACAUAACACCUCAGGUAUUGCUGGAGGACACCGUUUGCUCUUUCCGCCUGCCCGUUGGUUUCAGGGUGCCGGGCAGUCGAAAAAUGACCUCCACCUGCAGUAAGCUCAUGAGCUUCCUCCAGAACCUGGAAGUAAAUUGUUUUCCUCGGUCUGAGACCACCCUCAAUGGCACCCCGUGCAACCUAAAAAUGUUUUCUACAAAUAACUUCGCUGUCUCUUCCGCCGUGACUGCAUGCGAGCAAGCUACAAAGUGGCACAUCUUUGUUAGUAGGUCUACCACCACCAUGAUGGCUGUUUUCCCUUUGGACUUCGGCAGAUCAGUCAUAAAAUCUAUCGACACUGCCUCCCAAGGUCGUUCUGGGGUUGGUAAGGGUUCUAACAGCCCCGCCGGCGCCCGCCUUUCCCCUUUGGCUCGCUGGCAUUGCUCGCACCCUCUUACAUACUCACGUACAUCUUCCCUCACCUUAGGCCACCAAAAUUCCCUGGUGACCAACCACAUGGUUUUGUGUUGUCCAAAAUGCCCCGCCGUAGGGCUGUCGUGCAACUGCUUGAGUACCCUCCCCUUAACUCUCCUUCAGGGAUAUACAGUGCCCCUUUGUAAUACAAAGCUCCAUUUCUUUCCUCGAAACCCCUGGUUCCUCUCCAUCACCCCUAAGACCUCUGAGCUUAUUCUGGGCGUAUUCAUCAUUCUCUGUUUCCUCUACCAGUUCUCUUUGUCCCACCAAUGCCGCCCCACACACCCAGCGGUCUUCUGGAAUGACAUGUCUCUCUUCGGUGCCCCCUCCUCCAAAUAUUCAGGUUUGCGUGAGAGAGCGUCCGCCCUAAUGUUCUCUGGGCCUGGCACGUAACUAAUCUCAAAGUUAAAUUUGGAGAACUCCUGGGCCCAUCUCACUUGCCGUUGGUUGAGCACUCGUGCCGUCCUCCAAUACUCUAGGUUCUUGUGGUCAGUGCACACUUGCACCUUAUGUUGUGCGCCAAUUAGCAGGUGCCUCCAUCUCCGGAACGCCUCAUGAAUGGCUAGUAGUUCUCGGUCAUACACCGUGUAGUUCCUCUCGGAUUUGUUCAGCUUUCGCGGAAAAAAGGCACACGGUCUCCACUCUGACCCCUUCUUGCCUGGCUGCAGAAGCACCGCCCCAAUCGCUCUGUCUGAUGCGUCAGUUUCCACUCUCAUCGGUUUUUGUAAAUCCACAUGCAGGAGUUGUUGUUCCGAGGCGAAGGCCCUUUUAGUUCCUCAAAUGCUCGCUCCGCCUCCUCAGUCCACACGAACUUCUUCUUACUGCUGAGACAGUCCGUAAUGGGCGCCGUCAGGUGGGCAAAGUUUCGGAUGAACUUACGAUAGAAGUUCCCAAAUCCUAGGAACCUCUGCACAUCCUUCUUUGUUUUGGGUGCUUUCCAUUCCAGCACAGCCUGGACCUUGCCGGGAUCCAUGGCCAAUCCCUUGUCUGACAGGCGAUACCCCAGGAAUUCCACCUCCUUGGUAUGAAACUGACACUUCUCCAGUUUCACCCACAGCUGGUUGGCUUGCAGCCUGCUCAACACUUCUCUGACGUCUCUCACAUGCUGCUCCUCAUUCUCAGAAUACACCAACACGUCGUCUAAAAGGCCACACAAUUCUUGUAAAGCAAAGGCCCCAGGACGUGGUUCAUAAACGAUUGAAAGGUUGCGGAGCCUGCUUGGAGGCCGAAGGGCAUAACCAAAUAUUCAAAUGCCCCUAAAGGGGUGAACAUAGUGGUUUUCCAUUCAUCCCCCUUCCUUAUUCGUACCAGGUUGUACGCCCCCCUUAGGUCCAGCUUUGUGAAAUCUUUCCCUUCCGCACCCUUGUCAAAAUGUCGUCAAUCCUGGGCAUAGGGAAGGCUACUGGUUCUGACACUGCAUUUAAGGCCCUGAAGUCACACACCAGCCUCGGCUUGUUCGUGUUUUUCUUAUCCACAAAAACACUGGGCUGCCCCCACCGCCCUGGACUCUCUGAUGAACCCUCUCUUCAGGUUCUUGUCAAUGAACUCUCUUAACUCCUGCAUCUCUCUGUCUGACAUGGCGUACAGCUUGCCUACAGGGAGCUGUGCUCCAGGGAGUAAGUUGAUUUGACAGUCAAAGGGUCUAUGCGGGGGUAGUUGGUCAGCUUCCCUUUCGCUGAAGACGUCACGGAGAUCUGCAUAUUGUCGUGGUACCUUCACGUUCUCUGUUACUUCAGUCCCUGCUAGGGUGGCUUGGACCCCUGCCAAACCCUUUCCCUCUUUGCAGUGUUCUAAGCAAUGUGCUGAACCAAAAGAAACCACUCUCUGAUGCCAGCCCACCAGCGGAUCAUGUAACGCUAGCCAGCUCAUCCCCAAUAUAAUGGGAGCUCCUCCCAAGGUGGCCACAUUAAAAGCUAUCAGUUCGGUGUGCCUUGCUACCUUCAUUAUCAUUGGGACGGUCUGCAAGCUGACUUCUCCACCCAACAGCUCCCUGCCAUCGAUCGUGGUCACCUGCAGGGGGCUGCUUAAAGGGAUUGUCUGUAUCUGGUGUUCAGCUGCAAACUCUUUGCUCAUGAAAUUGCAGGAGCUGCCUGAGUCCAACAGCGCCUUUAUCUUUAGAGGGUGUCCGUUUGGCAGCUCUAGCGUCACUUCUAUCACUAGGGCGGGUUUAGGAGGUUCUGGCGUGGGCACUCUCACUGCUCUUUGGCCUGGCUGCUGUGCCCUGACAGUGGCAGCCAGGCGUUGGCUUUACUUGCUCCGGUAUAUUUUCCUCUCUUCCAUCCACAGCCCCUACCAUCCCUUGCCAUUCUUUCCUCUGGGGGCAGACUCUGGCAAAGUGACCUGGCUGUUGGCAGAGAUAGCAUUUCCGGGCGCCUUUUCCCUCCUUCUUUGCCCCCUCACUGGGCUUUGAAACUGCGCGCGCGCGCUGUUCCGAUUUCCAUCGGCUCUGCCGGUGGGAAAGUUGGCUCUGGAAUGUCUGGAAUGCGGAACUCCUUCCAACGUUCCCCUUUCCCUUCCCGCCUCUCCAAUGCUCUCGCCUCCUGGCGCGCUCCUAUGGCCAGCGCUGAUUUGGUCAGCUGGUCCAUAGACUCCGCCCUGGGCGCCCGGGAAAGUUCGUCUUUCACAGCCGAAGAAAGCCCUUCUUCAAAGAGCAUUUGAAUGGGUUCCGCCGAUAAGUCCCACCCCAAUCUGUGAACAAGCAUGGUGAACUCAGUCCAGUACUCACGGACAGAUCGGCUCCCCUGUUUGCAACCCAUUAACUGUCUGCGCACCACUCCCUUUUCAAUAUCGCUGGAAAACAUCAGAUCCAUGGCGCGAAAGAACUUCAUCGUGUCUUUUAAGACGUCACUAUUCGCUGCCAUCAGGGGUCUAACCCAGUCUCUCGCCCCCCUUUUCAAGAUGCUCAAUCACGAAAGCCACUCGUGAUUCCUCGUCAGGGAAUUCAUCAAACUGCAGAUUGAGGGCAUAUUGCAUUUCUGUCCGAAAACCAUGAUAGUUUUUGGGCUCCCCCCCAAACUUCUGCACCAAUCCUGGUACCUUUCUGGCGAACUGGGUGGCUUUCCCCGGUUUGUCUGCAUCCUGAGCCCUCCUCUCCUCAAGCCUCGCCGUCUGCAUCGCUAGCUGGACCUCCAACAUCUGGUACCUUUCUUCCAGGCUUGGACCCGCUCCAGCUCCUGCUUCUCCGGUUCCGGCUGGGUUGCUCAUGAUACCUUCUCCUGCACAAGCUGCUUUCAAAGACUGUCGGAAUGCUGUGAUGGGAUGAUGAGCUGCUUGUGCGUAAAAUCGUAUCCCUCAGAGUUUGUUCAAGUCCACAAACCUCUGUCUGUGACAGAGCCCCUCAGACAUGGCUACUCUAGUCACUAGCAGAUUCCGACAGUGGUUGCUUCGUAAUCGCUUCCAACAUAAAAGCUCCUUAACGGAAACACGUCUUCUGGAAUCUCUGCGUGACAGUUUCCGGCGAGGAGUGGGUGUUCUUACAGGAGGUCCUGAAACCUCUCCACUGUUUUCGCUGGAAGUGUCUCUGAGCCAUCCCUCCAGCUCAGCUCCUCUCCCCUGCUGGUUCCCUCAUCAGCUGCUGCGUCUCUCCCAACCUGUGUGAGCCCUUUCACCUCCCUGUUGGUUUCCUCUUCAGCUGCUGCGUCUCUCCCAACCUGUGUGAGCCCUUUCACCUCCCUUCCGUCCGAUGGCAGUUCCCUGACACUCCCCUUAAGGAGUCUCAAAGUGGCUAACAAUCUAUUUUCCCUUCCUCCCCCACAACAGACACUCUGUGAGGUGAGUGAGGCUGAGAGACUUCAGAGAAGUGUGACUAGCCCAAGGUCACCCAGCAGCUGCAUGUGGAGGAGCGGGGAAGCGAACCUGGUUCACCAGAUUACGAGUCCACCGCUCUUAAACACUACACCAUGUUGGGUCUGGUAAAAUGCUUGCCAGUAUUGCACACAUACUCUGUAAGUACUUACUAUCCCACAUGCAGAGCUGGCAUUCCAUUGGCCCAGCCAGGGGGGCUUCUGUGCAGACUCAUGUUGAAUGUGAUUCUUAGGUUUGGUGAUACGCAAAAUGGUUGAAACAACUGCAUUUAUACGUAACAGAACAUACAUGGAACAACUACCCAAGCAGCCCUAAAAGGGUGAGAUUCUACCUAUGGUGCCAUCAGCCUGAAAGUUGAAUGACUUGGGCAUGUACUUAAUGGAUGCACUAGUAUCCAGUGUACUCCAAGAUUAAACAAUUUCUAGUAUUCUAGACACCAUGUGUAUGUUCUUAUACCACACACACUAUGCAGUUUUUAAUAAGUCACUUAUUGGAAGUGAUUCACACACCUCCC